rnacentral:lncRNA from 1 species
AGUUUGGGAUCCACAGUCUACAAAAUCCCACAGCUCCUAAGAAUUCUCUCACCUGCCUUCUGCCCUUAAGCUCCGGUAGAUUGCAAAUAACCUGCUUUCUUUCUGUUCCCGAGCUGCCUUCGGACCCGUCGGAUCGUAAAUCCCACGUAAGGUACCUGCCGUCGGAAGAUUUGAACUUUCUACUUGGACACCUAAUACCCACAGUCCUCCAGGUACCUGCCGUCGGAAGAUUUGAACUUUCUACUUGGACAACUAACACCCACAGUCCUCCAGCUGCGUUCGGACCCGUCGGAUCGUAAAUCCCACGUAAGGUCGGAAGAUUUGAACUUUCUACUUGGACACCUAACACCCACAGUCCUCCAGCUGCGUUCGGACCCGUCUGAUCGUAAAUCCCAUGUAAGGUACCUGCCGUCGGAAGAUUUGAACGUUCUACUUGGACACCUAAAACCCACAGUCCUCCAGACAGAAAGACAACAGGUACAAAGCCCUAAGGAUUAUAAAGGUAUGCUGCUUACCAUCAUCUUAGUGACCAAGGCAGCGAAGCUGUUUCUGUACCUUGGAACAGUCUUCCCUGACAAGCCAGAGAACAGUGAUAAAGCCACCAGCCUUGGGAUCAGGACUGAAAAGGCAAGAGUGAUGGAGAUUUCUCCUGCGCUAAGCCAAGAGAAGGUUUCAGCACUUCAGACAGCUCCCACCGAAGUAGCCGCGCUCCCAGCUGCUUGCAGAUGUUGAAAAGGAAAGCCUCGGUUUGUCUUGAGGUUGUCAGCAGGUGCAAGACACGUAAUAAAAUGCAAUGUGUUCCUAA